CAGUAGCCGCGGGAAUACGUAGGGUGCAAGCGUUGUCCGGAAUUAUUGGGCGUAAAGAGCUCGUAGGCGGUUUGUCGCGUCUGCUGUGAAAUCUGGGGGCUCAACCCCCAGCCUGCAGUGGGUACGGGCAGACUAGAGUGCGGUAGGGGAGAUUGGAAUUCCUGGUGUAGCGGUGGAAUGCGCAGAUAUCAGGAGGAACACCGAUGGCGAAGGCAGAUCUCUGGGCCGUAACUGACGCUGAGGAGCGAAAGCAUGGGGAGCGAACAGGAUUAGAUACCCCCGUAGUCCCUGUCUCUUAUAC
rnacentral:rRNA from 1 species